UCUCUCCUAUCAUCGCCAGCUCCUUUGCCGUCUCUCUCGGAACUGGCCCUCCUGCAAGACCAAGCCCCAGAAUCGGAAAAGCAGGAGUGGAGACUGGCAGGGUGCAUCUUGCAUCCAGACCACUUGUGGUGCAGCUCUGUUGGCCGCAUUGUUGCCCCAGUGGUCUUGCUACCUCACCUUGCCCCCGUGCUCCAUGGAUUGUUGCACGUUGUCAAAGGGGGGAUGGUAGCAAUCCUUAAAACAAAAUUGGUUUGCUCCCAAAUUCGCCCAAGCAGCCAAAGAUUACUGUCUGGCUUGCCCUGUCUGCCAAGCCCACAGUGUGGGUAAACCUGUAAAGACAGUUCUGUCAACCAGACCUCCGCCUUUGGGACCAUUUCUGAAUUUACAAAUGAACUUUAUUCAAUUGCCUUUGAAUAUGUGCUGGUGAUUGUUUGCUUGUUUUCAGGAUUGGGGGAAGCUUAUCCCUUCAGGAAAGCUGAUGCCAUCACAGUGGCAAAGAAACUUCUAAAUCAUUACAUCCCAUCACGGGGAAUACACCUUGUGAUCUCCAGUGAUAAAGGUUAAGGACGCCUUCCAGGAGGCCCCGACUGAGCCGUGCCUUAAACUACAACCAGGAAACUGGGUUUGUGUGAAAGUUCACCAGCGAAAGACUGCCCUGGAACCCAGGUGGAAGGGUCCCUACCAAGUCCUUCUGACCAUCCAUACUGCUGUAAAGUGCAAGGGAUUGCCCACUUGGAUUCACACCUUUCACUGAAAACUGGUUCCAGCGCCUACAGAGGUUGGCCCCAACAAGGAGCACUGCAGACCUGGUACUAGAGACCCAGGUCCAGAAGCAGACGGGGAUCAGCGCAGACCUGGUACUAGAGACCCAGGUCCAGAAGCAGACGGGGAUCAGCGCAGACCUGGUACUAGAGACCCAGGUCCAGAAGCAGACGGGGAUCAGCGCAGACCUGGUACUAGAGACCCAGGUCCAGAAGCAGACGGGGAUCAGCGCAGACCUGGUACUAGAGACCCAGGUCCAGAAGCAGACGGGGAUCAGCGCAGACCUGGUACUAGAGACCCAGGUCCAGAAGCAGACGGGGAUCAGCGCAGACCUGGUACUAGAGACCCAGGUCCAGAAGCAGACGGGGAUCAGCGCAGACCUGGUACUAGAGACCCAGGUCCAGAAGUAGACGGGGAUCAGCGCAGGCUUGGUACCGGCAAUCCAGGCCCAGAAGCAGACAAUCCUAAGAGACCGAGGCUAAGGUACCAGCUGCGGCCCAGAAGAACCUGCAAGUGAUAGGUGAAGCAAACUACGAAGUCCUGAAGAACAGCCAGCAUGAGGCUGGACAAACAAUUCAUGUUGAGCUUAUGCUUAAUCUUGUUUUUAAUACCUAGCAAUUAUAACCUAUAUGGUUCAAAUGUGUUUAUGCUUUUAAUGAACCAAG